GCCGGAGUGGCGGAACUGGUAGACGCAGGGGACUUAAAAUCCCCUGGCCUUUGGCCGUGUCAGUUCAAGUCUGACCUCCGGCA
rnacentral:tRNA from 1 species